GUGACCACUUAUGAAAUUUCUUGAAAUUAAGCACUCAAGAAAUGAAAUAUCCUCAAGAUAUUCUUUGAAAUUAUAUGCUAUGGCAGCUCUACAGAUAAAACUAUUCUAGAGAUCUCUCAACUAAAAAAAAAAAAAAAAUCAAUCCACUCAAACACUGGGAGGCACAUUCAUUUGCUAAGAAGCUCAGAGCACAGGGGUAGAAUCAUGUACUUCAGGGGAAUCCUGGGUCACAGUCCUGGGGAGAGGGAGGCUGGAGGAGGUGCCGAAUGACACAGGAUGACAAGCGGGUGACUCAGGUAUCCUACAUUUUAAGCGAGGGAUGAGUGAACUCUUUACUGGCAAAGAAACCACAGAGGAAAAUUAGGCGGGGAGGUGGAGGCUCUCAAACGCUUGUGUUUCAUCACACACACAAAUGUGUCACACACUCCUCUGCAUACAUCAAGUCUUAUGUAAUAAAAUAAUACAUUGAAAAAUUAAGAGAGAAAAGAGACAAAGGGAAACCAAGUUGUUCUCGGAGGGCCUCUGGUCUGCCCUGGCUCUCUCGCCACCUGCCCAGGCUGGGCAUCAGGGGCAGCCCCAGAGGACCCGGCUCAGCUGACCGGUGCCGUUGUCUCUGGGCCAACAGAACCUGAGCCAGCUCUUGAGUUCCAAUCGAAAGACAGUGACCUGCGGCACCACCUUCAGUUGCUCUUUUCUUCUUUCCUCUGCGGUGAGUUCGCAAUGAAUUCCUGGCAGGUCACCUUCCACAGUAUCACAGCGUUAUCUCUUCGCUCCUCUUGCCUUGAUUUCAACCGCAGUCUUGAGUAUCUUGUUGGGCCAACAAUCUUUCAAAGCAAAUCAAACUUCUCAAACAGGAUCUUCAUAGCUUCCCACCAAUGGCUCCCUUCGACUCCAAGGGAUUUCACUUCCCACCCACUUUAGCUCUUCAUCCACCUUGGAAAAGUAUCUACUCCCUUCCUUGUCAGCACAAACCUUUGCGAGAGGAGGAGGGGCUCUUUCUCCGAAUGCAAUCACCUACCUCACCCUUUCUGCUUGUUACAGCCUUCUUCCUUUUAAUUGCACAAUUCCAUUUCAAAACGACCUACAAUUUCUUUCACCAAGGACACUUUUCUACCUCAGGUCUAGCCAUCUUUUAACUCCUGAACCCAACUGUGAUUUGUUUAAAAAAAAAAAAAUGUCCAANNNNNNNNNNNNNNNNNNNNNNNNNNNNNNNNNNNNNNNNNNNNNNNNNNNNNNNNNNNNNNNNNNNNNNNNNNNNNNNNNNNNNNNNNNNNNNNNNNNAAAAAAAAUGUCCAAAACUUGAAAAUAAGCUGGGGCAGGGGGCGGGGGGGUGGGGCAGGGGAAGUACAGCAUCUCUAAAAGUUCUACCUGUCUACCUAAAGGUCAUCUGAUGCUCUCCGGAAACACAGAGUGGUCUGACUUCCUCUUUACUACUCAUCAGGCACACAUUCUGUAAAUGAGAUGUUCACAUGUAGAAAAUAAACAAAUAGCAAAUGACUUGUCUGGUGAACAAGAUAACCUUAAAAGCUUUGUCUUUACUGCCCUGCAGGACAUUAGCCUAUUAAGUAUCUGAAUUCGCAAUCUCACUUCUUUCCUACUAUGUAGUUUCUUGCAUUCUCCUUGAACCCACCUUUGUCAUCCUGCUGUUUUCCUCAGUAAUCUUCAUAAAUCUUCGGUACAUACUGAUGAUAUACUGGUAUGAGAGUAUGCUUCUAACAUUAAAAAGUUUGUUUUGUCAUAUUACAUCCAGUAAGACAUAUUUUUUUAAUAACUUUCCUUAGAUCUCAUGCUCCACAAGCACCUAGACAAAACCUUCCACUCCCUGGGCCUCUCUAGGCACUCAGCGCUCUGGUACUUACAAGACUUGGUAUCAACUCACUGAGAUGCCCUCACAUGCAACCUUCAUGCACUCUAUAAAAACGGCAAACACGCCUUCUGAACCAAAAGUGGAAGGGACACCGCCUCAUGAUGGGACAAGAUAUUUUUGAAAUUUGGGUUACCCAGGAAAAUCUGGACAAAUUUCUGCAAUUUCCACAAAACUUCCACUUUUGGUGAAGUAGGUAUAAAAAUGCAAGGUUUUAAAUGUGUUGAACACCCACUGUGUGCUGGCACAGAGAUGACAAAACACCCCUUGACUGCAAGGAGUUAGUGAGAGUGACAGAUCUGGCGGCGACAGUCACAGCAGACGAGGACAACACAGGGGAUGUGAUAAAAUCACUGACUCCAGCUGGUCGAGCAGCUUCCUCAAGAAGCUGGAAUGAAGGCUGACCAGGAUGCCAGGUGAAUUCUAGGCCCAGGGAAUCUUGCAAGUCACAGCUCGGAGGCCUGGGCAGGGCAGGCUGGGCAGGUGGUCAGGACCAAAUCCUGAAGGGGUCUGCAGCUCACAGUAAUGAACUUGGUCUCUCUCCUUCUUAAAGAAGGAAAAGCUACAGCCAGCAAUCCAGCCAUGCUCUAGGAAGGGGAGCCCUGCAGCUCAGCCCUGCUCACUUUGGUUUGUAUAGGGGGCUACUGGCUUGCCCAGAGUCCCCAGACACCAUAUGCUCACUAAGAAUCAUUCUGACCCCAAUGUUCAUCGCAGCACUGUUUAUAAUAGCAGGACAUGGAAACAA
rnacentral:lncRNA from 1 species